CUGCGCCGCUUGCCCGCGAGCUUCCUCGGGGGCAUGGCGGCCACCUAGCGGGACAACCGCGCCGCUCCUCGGCCAGGAAGCUUUUUGGCUUUGAAGCGGCGGCUGCGGAGCUCGGCAGUUGAGGGGCCGCGGUGGGGCAGGUGACUGCUUUCACCCCGUAGGAUCUUCAGCUUCUCUACUGGAGGAAGAAUGGUCAUUCUGAAAAAUAAUAUUUAGAGGAAGAAAAAAACGAACCCACAUUAUCUUCAAAGCAAACUAAACUGUGAUCUUUGACAGAUCUUGAUGAAUCUCAGCUAGUAAAGUGUUAAGUUUAAUAUCUAUUGGGGUGUGAUUCUCUUCUGCAUUUAUGCUGUAAUUGAACUAUGCUAUUAAACAAGAGCAAUUUGUUUCAAUUGGUUAACAUAUAGGAAUUAAAGAAUUGUUAUUUUCUGUUGAGUGAUAAAGAAGUUUAUCAGUAAGAACUAACAGCAGCCCAGUUUCCAUUUUUGGGGCAGUUGUGCCAAAUUAUACUCAAUAUUUUGAGCUUUAGGGACAGGCAGGUAUGAAUAAAUGUACAUUUCUUUUUGAACUGAAAACUUAAUUCAGACGCAUUAAAGCAGCACAACAUCC